rnacentral:rRNA from 1 species
UACGUAGGGGGCUAGCGUUGUCCGGAAUUAUUGGGCGUAAAGAGCUCGUAGGCGGUCUGUCGCGUCUGUUGUGAAAACUCGAGGCUCAACCUCGGGCUUGCAGUGGAUACGGGCAGACUAGAGUGCGGUAGGGGAGACUGGAAUUCCUGGUGUAGCGGUGGAAUGCGCAGAUAUCAGGAGGAACACCAAUGGCGAAGGCAGCACUCUGGGACGGUACUGACGCUGAGACGCGAAACGUGGGGAGCAAACAGG